rnacentral:rRNA from 1 species
UACAGGGGGGCUCGAGCGUUAGUCGGAAUCACUGGGCUUAAAGGGUGCGUAGGUGGCUCGCCAAGUGCUUUGUGAAAAUCCCCGUGGCUCAACUGCGGGUCUGCAGCCGAUACGGGCAGGCUAGAGUUCGGUAGGGGGAGACCGGAAUCCUCGGUGUAGCGGUGAAAUGCGCAGAUAUCAGGAGGAACACCGGUGGCGAAGGCGGG